rnacentral:misc_RNA from 1 species
UCUCCGUAGGUGAACCUGCGGAGGGAUCAUUACAGAGUUCAUGCCCUACCGGGUAGAUCUCCCACCCUAUGUUAUUAUUACUUUGUUGCUUUGGCGGGCCGUUAGGCUCCGGCCCGACUACCGGCCCCGGCUGGUAAGCGCCCGCCAGAGGACCCAAAACCCUGAAUAUUAGUGUCGUCUGAGUACUAUAUAAUAGUCAAAACUUUCAACAACGGAUCUCUUGGUUCUG